rnacentral:lncRNA from 1 species
AAUAUCUGUACUGCACACUGGGAUAGAAGAGCAGGUUGCUCGCAGUGGAGGGACCCAGCUCCCAAAGGGCUGCAGGGACCAACACCACAGCACGCAAGUAGCCAGUGAUUCCUAGAGCCCACCUAGGACCUGCGCCACUCACAAAGCUGAAACACAACCGCAAAGAACACAGGGGCUUGGUUUGCCUCCUUUGUCUGCAAGUGAUUUACAGGAGAAGAUUUUAAGCUCUGCUGUUGGCCUGAAAGUUUCUCUGCAAUCUUACUCCAGAUUUCCCCAGGACUGCUCCUUCCCUACUUUCAAAACUGCUGGGUUCUGUACGUCAAGGGAUAAUGCUUGGCAGCAUAUUUAACUUCAUGCUUUCACAAUAAGAAUGUCUGUGCCUUUGCUGUCAGCUUCACUGCUGAAACACUCUGCACCACAUUACUCACAACCCUGUGCUUUAUCAAAGCAGCUCGACAUAACAAUCCUCACUAUAUACAAGUUAAUCCCAGUAUGGCCCAAAUUAUCAAGGAAGCCCUCUAUAAAACAGCAGGAUUCAUUUCACAAACAUCUCCUCUGAGAAAUGUAAAUUCUCUAUUUAAGGUCUAUGGUAAUAAACUACAAGAGGAUUGAGAGUGGUUUUGGAAAUAACAAAUAACACUGUUAGCCUUUUCCUAUGACUGCAACACCAGGAGUAUGUAAUUAGGUUAUUUCUAAGAAACCAGAAGUGCUCAGGCCAUUCUGAUGUGCUUUGAGCAUGAAAUCUUACUACUUUUCCAAGGUACCAAAAAUACUUAGCUUAUUUCCGCUUCAUGCAACUGUAAUUUUUAAGAUGACAGAUUGUAAUAAAACACUGG